rnacentral:rRNA from 1 species
UACGUAGGGUGCAAGCGUUGUCCGGAAUUAUUGGGCGUAAAGAGCUUGUAGGCGGUUUGUCGCGUCUGCUGUGAAAUUUCGGGGCUCAACCCCGAACUUGCAGUGGGUACGGGCAGACUAGAGUGUGGUAGGGGAGACUGGAAUUCCUGGUGUAGCGGUGAAAUGCGCAGAUAUCGGGAGGAACACCGGUGGCGAAGGCGGUUCUCUGGGCCUUACCUGACGCUGAGGAGCGAAAGCGUGGGGAGCAAACAGG